rnacentral:rRNA from 1 species
AUUGAACGCUGGCGGCAGGCCUAACACAUGCAAGUCGAGCGGAUGAAGAGAGCUUGCUCUCUGAUUUAGCGGCGGACGGGUGAGUAAUGCCUAGGAAUCUGCCUGGUAGUGGGGGAUAACGUCCGGAAACGGGCGCUAAUACCGCAUACGUCCUACGGGAGAAAGCAGGGGACCUUCGGGCCUUGCGCUAUCAGAUGAGCCUAGGUCGGAUUAGCUAGUUGGUGAGGUAAUGGCUCACCAAGGCUACGAUCCGUAACUGGUCUGAGAGGAUGAUCAGUCACACUGGAACUGAGACACGGUCCAGACUCCUACGGGAGGCAGCAGUGGGGAAUAUUGGACAAUGGGCGAAAGCCUGAUCCAGCCAUGCCGCGUGUGUGAAGAAGGUCUUCGGAUUGUAAAGCACUUUAAGUUGGGAGGAAGGGCAGUAAGUUAAUACCUUGCUGUUUUGACGUUACCGACAGAAUAAGCACCGGCUAGCUUCGUGCCAGCAGCCGCCGUAAGAC